GGAAAGACCGGUACAAGCGAGGUAGGAGAAGAGUUGGCAAAUCCGCUCUUUAAUCUGAAGACGUGAUGUGGACUGAAAAUAAGUAGGGAAGCACGUGAGCUGACUGUCAAGAAAAGCCGCUAUUGUUUGCAGGAUACCGUACCGUAAACCGACACAGGUGGAUGAGGAGAGAAUCCUAAGGCCGACGGGAGAAGCAUUGUUAAGGAACUCGGCAAAAUGACUCCGUAACUUCGGGAGAAGGAGUGCCAGUAAGAUGGCCGCAGAGAAUUGGCCCAAGCAACUGUUUAGCAAAAACACAGGUCUAUGCAAAACCGAAAGGUGAGGUAUAUGGGCUGACGCCUGCCCGGUGCUGGAAGGUUAAGGGGAGAGGUUAGCGCAAGCGAAGCUUUGAACUUAAGCCCCAGUAAACGGCGGCCGUAACUAUAACGGUCCUAAGGUAGCGAAAUUCCUUGUCGGGUAAGUUCCGACCCGCACGAAAGGCGUAAUGAUUUGGGCACUGUCUCAACAAUGCACCCGGCGAAAUUGAAAUACCAGUGAAGAUGCUGGUUACCUGCGCCAGGACGGAAAGACCCCAUGGAGCUUUACUCCAGCUUGAUACUGGGAUUCGGUAUUGCAUGUACAGGAUAGGUGGGAGGCUAGGAAAUGGUAACGCCAGUUGCCAUGGAGCCAAUGUUGGGAUACCACCCUUGCAGUACUGGGUUUCUAACCAGCAGCCGUGAUCCGGCUGGGGGACAAUGUCAGGUGGGGAGUUUGACUGGGGCGGUCGCCUCCGAAAGGGUAUCGGAGGCGCUCAAAGGUUCCCUCAGAAUGGUUGGAAACCAUUCGAAGAGUGCAAAGGCAGAAGGGAGCUUGACUGCGACACCGACGGGUGGGGCAGGUACGAAAGUAGGACUUAGUGAUCCGGUGGUAUAAAGUGGGAUUGCCAUCGCUCAACGGAUAAAAGCUACCCUGGGAUAACAGGCUUAUCACUCCCAAGAGUUCACAUCGACGGAGUGGUUUGGCACCUCGAUGUCGGCUCAUCGCAUCCUGGGGCUGAAGUAGGUCCCAAGGGUUGGGCUGUUCGCCCAUUAAAGCGGUACGCGAGCUGGGUUCAGAACGUCGUGAGACAGUUCGGUCCCUAUCCGGCGUGGGCGUAAGAUAUUUGAGAGGAGCUGUCCUUAGUACGAGAGGACCGGGAUGGACUGGCCGCUGGUGUAUCUGUUGUCUUACCAAAGGCAUAGCAGAGUAGCCAAGCCGGGAAGGGAUAAACGCUGAAGGCAUCUAAGCGUGAAGCCCCCCUCAAGAUGAGAUAUCUCAUAACGUCAAGUUAGUAAGACCCCUUGAAGACGACGAGGUAGAUAGGGCAGAGGUGGAAGUGUGGUAACACAUGGAGCUGACUGUUACUAAUAGGUCGAGGGCAUAACC
rnacentral:rRNA from 1 species